rnacentral:rRNA from 1 species
AUCUUCCACAAUGGACGAAAGUCUGAUGGAGCAACGCCGCGUGAGGGAAGAAGGUUUUCGGAUCGUAAAGCCCUGUUGUGAGGGAAGAACAAGUACAGGAGUAACUGUCUGUACCUUGACGGUACCUCACCAGAAAGCCACGGCUAACUACUUGCCAGCAGCCGCGGCAAUACGUAGGUGGCAAGCGUUGUCCGGAAUUAUUGGGCGUAAAGGGCGCGCAGGCGGUCCUUUAAGUCUGAUGUGAAAGCCCACGGCUCAACCGUGGAGGGUAAUUGGAAACUGGAGGACUUGAGUACAGAAGAGGGAAGCGGAAUUCCACGUGUAGCGGUGAAAUGCGUAGAGAUGUGGAGGAACACCAGUGGCGAAGGCGGCUUUCUGGUCUGUAACUGACGCUGAGGCGCGAAAGCGUGGGGAGCAAAC